rnacentral:rRNA from 1 species
UGGGGAAUCUUGCACAAUGGGGGAAACCCUGAUGCAGCGACGCCGCGUGAGCGAUGAAGGUUUUCGAAUCGUAAAGCUCUGUCCUAUGGGAAGAUAAUGACGGUACCAUGGGAGGAAGCCCCGGCUAACUACGUGCCAGCAGCCGCGGUAAUACGUAGGGGGCGAGCGUUGUCCGGAAUUACUGGGCGUAAAGGGUUCGCAGGCGGCAUGGCAAGUCCGAUGUAAAAGGCGAAGGCUCAACCUUCGUAAGCAUCGGAAACUGUCAAGCUUGAGUGAAGGAGAGGCAGGUGGAAUUCCUAGUGUAGCGGUGGAAUGCGUAGAUAUUAGGAGGAAUACCGGUGGCGAAGGCGACUUGCUGGACUUCAACUGACGCUGAGGAACGAAAGCGUGGGUAGCAAACAGG